rnacentral:lncRNA from 13 species
UCUCAAACUCUGAAACUCAAGGGAUCCACCUGCCUUGGCCUCUCAUUAAGCUCUCAGUGUUUUUAAAUCACAACACUGUGAAAACCUAGUAAAAACUGUGAACCCUCUACUUAGCAAAAUGAAAAUAAAUAUCUAUUUAUAAAAAUCUCCAUUCAAUUUCCCUGAAUUCCUAAGUGUUCCAAAUUCCUAGGGUAAGAAUUCCUGCUUUAGAAUUUGGGUUGGGGGUGGGAAUCUUAACACUUUAAUUUGGAUGCAGUUUGAAAAAACAUUUUGUGGCUACAUAAUACAAGUACAUAUUUAUGGGGUAUUGAGACACAUUUUAUGUCAGAGCAAAAAUACUAAACUCUUUAUAUACUGAGAGAUCUUGAACUUACAUUAAAUUAUUUUCAACUACAGUUUAUAGUUCCUGGGACAAAACUAUCAUUUUUCAGAAAAUCUGGCAUCCUUGGAAUUGAGAAAAAAAUCUGUCUGUUGAUCUCCUUGCCAAGAGAAAUGUUUCCUAACAUUGCUGGAAAAUGAUGUGCUGUAUCAAAAGCUGACUGGCCUAGCCUACAUGUUAAAAAAAAAAAGGCUGAGGAGGAAGAUAAAGAGGAUGGGUUGGCCUUGCUGUUUCACAAGUGGCAGAGGCAGAAGAAAAUCUGCGUAUACGUGUGAUUUUUUGUAUUUAAGAAUAUC